AUACACGUGUGUGUGCCUUUAUAGGCAGGUAUGGUGUAUAUACACGUGUGUGUGCCUUUAUAGGCAGGUAUGGUGUAUAUACACGUGUGUGUGCCUUUAUAGGCAGGUAUGGUGUAUAUACACGUGUGUGUGCCUUUAUAGGCAGGUAUGGUGUAUAUACACGUGUGUGUGCCUUUAUAGGCAGGUAUGGUGUAUAUACACGUGUGUGUACCUAUAUAGGCAGGUAUGGUGUAUAUACACGUGUGUGUACCUAUAUAGGCAGGUAUGGUGUAUAUACACGUGUGUGUACCUAUAUAGGCAGGUAUGGUGUAUAUACACGUGUGUGUACCUAUAUAGGCAGGUAUGGUGUAUAUAUACGUAUGUGUAUAUUGGUUUGUUGUAUAUGUUCGAAAUAAAAGGUUGUCAUCCUCA